rnacentral:rRNA from 1 species
CCUACGGGGAGCAGCAGUGAGGAAUAUUGGUCAAUGGUCGGGAGACUGAACCAGCCAAGCCGCGUGAGGGAGGAAGGUACAGAGUAUCGUAAACCUCUUUUGUCAGGGAACAAAGGCGGGGACGUGUCCCCGGAUGAGUGUACCUGAAGAAAAAGCAUCGGCUAACUCCGUGCCAGCAGCCGCGGUAAUACGGAGGAUGCGAGCGUUAUCCGGAUUUAUGGGGUUUAAAGGGUGCGCAGGCGGUCUGUUAAGUCAGCGGUCAAAGCCCGGGGCUCAACCCCGGCCCGCCGUUGAAACUGGCAGUCUCGAGUGGGAGAGAAGUAUGCGGAAUGCGCGGUGUAGCGGUGAAAUGCAUAGAUAUCGCGCAGAACUCCGAUUGCGAAGGCAGCAUGCCGGCUCCACACUGACGCUGAGGCACGAAAGCGUGGGUAUCGAACAGGAUUAGAUACCCGAGUAGUC